GUGUCAGCCGCCGCGGUAAUACGUAGGGGGCGAGCGUUGUCCGGAUUUAUUGGGCGUAAAGGGCGCGUAGGCGGCUUGUUAAGUCUGGUGUGAAAGCCCGAGGCUCAACCUCGGUAAGCACUGGAAACUGGCGAGCUUGAGUACUGGAGAGGGUUGUGGAAUUCCCAGUGUAGCAGUGAAAUGCGUAGAGAUUGGGAGGAACACCAGUGGCGAAGGCGGCAACCUGGACAGAUACUGACGCUGAGGCGCGAAAGCUGGGGGAGCAAACGGGAUUAGAUACCCCGGUAGUCCCAGCCGUAAACGAUGGAUACUAGGUGUAGGAGGUAUCGACCCCUUCUGUGCCGCAGCUAACGCAAUAAGUAUCCCGCCUGGGGAGUACGGCCGCAAGGUUGAA
rnacentral:rRNA from 1 species